rnacentral:rRNA from 1 species
UCGGUAAUUCCAGCUCCAAUAGCGUAUAUUAAAGUUGUUGCGGUUAAAAAGCUCGUAGUUGGAUUUCCGUUCGAGCCCGCACCUCCCCUUGGGGGUUGGUGCCGAGCUCGAGCCUUUCUAGGUGUAUACGUGCGUACUUCACUGUAUGGCGUAUUCAACCCGGACUUUUACUUUGAGGAAAUUAGAGUGUUUCAGGCAGGCAAACGCCUUGAAUACAUUAGCAUGGAAUAAUAAGAUAAGACUUUGGUCUUGUUUGUUGGUUCAUAGACCGAAGUAAUGAUUAAUAGGGAUAGUUGGGGGCAUUCGUAUUUAACUGUCAGAGGUGAAAUUCUUGGAUUUGUUAAAGACGAACUACUGCGAAAGCAUUUGCCAAGGAUGUUUUCAUUGAUCAAGAACGAAAGUUAGGGGAUCGAAGACGAUCAGAUACCGUCCUAGUCCUAACCAUAAACCAUGCCGACUAGGGAUCGGAGGUCGUUAUCUUACGACUCCUUCGGCACCUUAUGAGAAAUCAAAGUCUUUGGGUUCCGGGGGGAGUAUG